rnacentral:rRNA from 1 species
GACGAACGCUGGCGGCGUGCUUAACACAUGCAAGUCGAACGGAAAGGCCCUGCUUUUGUGGGGUGCUCGAGUGGCGAACGGGUGAGUAACACGUGAGUAACCUGCCCUUGACUUUGGGAUAACUUCAGGAAACUGGGGCUAAUACCGGAUAGGAGCUCCUGCUGCAUGGUGGGGGUUGGAAAGUUUCGGCGGUUGGGGAUGGACUCGCGGCUUAUCAGCUUGUUGGUGGGGUAGUGGCUUACCGAGGCUUUGACGGGUAGCCGGCCUGAGAGGGUGACCGGCCACAUUGGGACUGAGAUACGGCCCAGACUCCUACGGGAGGCAGCAGUGGGGAAUAUUGCACAAUGGGCGGAAGCCUGAUGCAGCAACGCCGCGUGCGGGAUGACGGCCUUCGGGUUGUAAACCGCCUUCGCCUGUGACGAAGCGUGAGUGACGGUAAUGGGUAAAGAAGCACCGGCUAACUACGUG